rnacentral:rRNA from 1 species
CCCUUAGAUGUUCUGGGCUGCACGCGCGCUACACUGAUGCAUUCAACGAGUUUAUAACCUUGCCCGUUAGGGUUGGGUAAUCUUUUGAAAAUGCAUCGUGAUGGGGAUAGAUUAUUGUAAUUAUUAAUCUUCAACGAGGAAUUCCUAGUAAGCGCUAGUCAUCAGCUAGUGUUGAUUACGUCCCUGCCCUUUGUACACACCGCCCGUCGCUGCCUCCGAUUGAGUGAUCCGGUGAAUAAUUCGGACCGAUAGCUCGUUUGGUUCGCCGAACUUGUUGUUGGAAAGUCUAGUAAACCUUAUCACUUAGAGGAAGCAAAAGUCGUAACA